AAACGACCCUCGGCAACGGAUAUCUCGGCUCUCGCAUCGAUGAAGAACGUAGCGAAAUGCGAUACUUGGUGUGAAUUGCAGAAUCCCGUGAACCAUCGAGUCUUUGAACGCAAGUUGCGCCCGAAGCCUUUGGGCCGAGGGCACGCCUGCCUUGGGCGUCACGCA
rnacentral:rRNA from 1 species